rnacentral:rRNA from 1 species
AAUGAACGCUGGCGGCGUGCCUAACACAUGCAAGUCGGACGAGAAAGACUGUUUUCGGACGGUCGAGUAAAGUGGCGCACGGGUGAGUAGCGCGUAGGUAACCUACCCUUGUAUUGGGGAUAACUCCGCGAAAGCGGGGCUAAUACCGGAUACGAUCCUCACCUGGCGGGGUGGGAAUGAAAGUGGGCCUCUCGGAGAAGCUCACGUACGGGGAUGGGCCUGCGUCCUAUCAGCUAGUUGGUGGGGUAAUGGCCUACCAAGGCGACGACGGGUAGCUGGUCUGAGAGGAUGAUCAGCCACACUGGAACUGAGACACGGUCCAGACUCCUACGGGAGGCAGCAGUAGGGAAUAUUGGACAAUGGGCGCAAGCCUGAUCCAGCCAUGCCGCGUGAGUGAAGAAGGCCCUCGGGUUGUAAAGCUCUUUUGUCCGGAAAGAAAAGCGCCGGGUUAAUACCCUAGUGUCCUGACGGUACCGGAAGAAUAAGCAUCGGCUAACUCCGUG